AUACGGAGGAUGCGAGCGUUAUCCGGAUUUAUUGGGCUUAAAGGGAGCGUAGGUGGGAUAUUAAGUCAGCUGUGAAAGUUUGGGGCUCAACCUUAAAAUUGCAGUUGAUACUGGUUUCCUUGAGUACGGUACAGGUGGGCGGAAUUCGUGGUGUAGCGGUGAAAUGCUUAGAUAUCACGAAGAACUCCGAUCGCGAAGGCAGCUCACCGGGCCGGAACUGACACUGAUGCUCGAAAGUGUGGGUAUCAAACAGGAUUAGAUACCCUGGUAGUCCACACAGUAAACGAUGAAUACUCGCUGUUUGCGAUAUACAGUAAGCGGCCAAGCGAAAGCAUUAAGUAUUCCACCUGGGGAGUACGCCGGCAACGGUGAAACUCAAAUGAAUUGACGGGG
rnacentral:rRNA from 1 species